GGGGGCGAAUCAGCUUCGACGUGGAGCGUGAUUUUCCCGAUGUAGCGAGUCGAGGACUCCGGGUUGGCCUCGUUAAAUGAUCCCGGAAAACCAUAUGUGCGGACCGUAAUCACGAGUUCGCCCUCGCCGCUUAAUUAGGUGAGGGAGUCGCACCGGGCAGCCCGCGGCCCGGAUUCGCGGCUUCAUAUAGCGGGCUUACCUCGGCGGCAGGAUCCUCGGCCGUCGGGGGACGCUUUCAGGAGGGUAUGGCGCCGGCAACGUAUCCCGCGGAUAGACCGAGCCGGUAGCCGAGAUCAGACUCCGUCGGGAACACUCGUAGCAAGCAUCGGGAGGAUGUUCCGCGGACGCCGGGGCAGUACCGGCCGCCUCCACUA
rnacentral:tmRNA from 1 species